rnacentral:rRNA from 1 species
GAUGAACGCUAGCGAUAGGCCUAACACAUGCAAGUCGAGGGGCAUCACAUGAAGUAGCAAUACGGAUGGUGGCGACCGGCGCACGGGUGAGUAACACGUAUGCAACCUGCCUUCAACAAGGGGAUAACCCGUUGAAAGACGGACUAAUACCCUAUAACACAGGGGUCCCGCAUGGGAAUAUUUGUUAAAGGACAACCGGUUGAAGAUGGGCAUGCGUUCCAUUAGCUAGUUGGCGGGGUAACGGCCCACCAAGGCAACGAUGGAUAGGGGAACUGAGAGGUUUAUCCCCCACACUGGUACUGAGACACGGACCAGACUCCUACGGGAGGCAGCAGUGAGGAAUAUUGGUCAAUGGACGCAAGUCUGAACCAGCCACGUCGCGUGAAGGAAGACGGCCCUACGGGUUGUAAACUUCUUUUAUACGGGAAUAAAGUGCCCCACGCGUGGGGUUUUAGCAUGUACCGUAUGAAUAAGGAUCGGCU